UACGAAGGGGGCUAGCGUUGUUCGGAAUUACUGGGCGUAAAGCGCACGUAGGCGGAUAUUUAAGUCGGGGGUGAAAUCCCGGGGCUCAACCCCGGAACUGCCUUCGAUACUGGGUAUCUUGAGUUCGGAAGAGGUGAGUGGAAUUGCGAGUGUAGAGGUGAAAUUCGUAGAUAUUCGCAGGAACACCAGUGGCGAAGGCGGCUCACUGGUCCGAUACUGACGCUGAGGCGCGAAAGCGUGGGGAGCAAACAGG
rnacentral:rRNA from 1 species